AAAGAUGGUUGACCAUAGAACAUGCGCUGGCUCUGUGUCGUAUGUAAUAUGGUCCACGUCUUCU
rfam:Camelus ferus unplaced genomic scaffold scaffold726, whole genome shotgun sequence.